GAGCGGUAGAGAGAAGCUUGCUUCUCUUGAGAGCGGCGGACGGGUGAGUAAUGCCUAGGAAUCUGCCUGGUAGUGGGGGAUAACGCUCGGAAACGGACGCUAAUACCGCAUACGUCCUACGGGAGAAAGCAGGGGACCUUCGGGCCUUGCGCUAUCAGAUGAGCCUAGGUCGGAUUAGCUAGUAGGUGGGGUAAUGGCUCACCUAGGCGACGAUCCCUAGCUGGUCUGAGAGGAUGACCAGCCACACUGGAACUGAGACACGGUCCAGACUCCUACGGGAGGCAGCAGUGGGGAAUAUUGGACAAUGGGCGAAAGCCUGAUCCAGCCAUGCCGCGUGUGUGAAGAAGGUCUUCGGAUUGUAAAGCACUUUAAGUUGGGAGGAAGGGUUGUAGAUUAAUACUCUGCAAUUUUGACGUUACCGACAGAAUAAGCACCGGCUAACUCUGUGCCAGCAGCCGCGGUAAUACAGAGGGUGCAAGCGUUAAUCGGAAUUACUGGGCGUAAAGCGCGCGUAGGUGGUUCGUUAAGUUGGAUGUGAAAUCCCCGGGCUCAACCUGGGAACUGCAUUCGAAACUGGCAGGCUAGAGUCUUGUAGAGGGGGGUAGAAUUCCAGGUGUAGCGGUGAAAUGCGUAGAGAUCUGGAGGAAUACCGGUGGCGAAGGCGGCCCCCUGGACAAAGACUGACGCUCAGGUGCGAAAGCGUGGGGAGCAAACAGGAUUAGAUACCCUGGUAGUCCACGCCGUAAACGAUGUCGACUUGGAGGUUGUUCCCUUGAGGAGUGGCUUCCGGAGCUAACGCGUUAAGUCGACCGCCUGGGGAGUACGGCCGCAAGGUUAAAACUCAAAUGAAUUGACGGGGGCCCGCACAAGCGGUGGAGCAUGUGGUUUAAUUCGAUGCAACGCGAAGAACCUUACCUACUCUUGACAUCCAGAGAACUUAGCAGAGAUGCUUUGGUGCCUUCGGGAACUCUGAGACAGGUGCUGCAUGGCUGUCGUCAGCUCGUGUUGUGAAAUGUU
rnacentral:rRNA from 1 species